AGUUUGAUCCUGGCUCAGGACGAACGCUGGCGGCGUGCUUAACACAUGCAAGUCGAACGAUGAGGCCCUUCGGGGCGGAUUAGUGGCGAACGGGUGAGUAACACGUGGGCAACCUGCCCUCCACUCUGGGAUAACUCCGGGAAACCGGGGCUGAUACUGGAUACGACCCUCCCUCGCAUGGGGGUGGGUGGAAAGUUUUUCGGUGGAGGAUGGGCCCGCGGCCUAUCAGCUUGUUGGUGGGGUGAUGGCCUACCAAGGCGGUGACGGGUAGCCGGCCUGAGAGGGCGACCGGCCACACUGGGACUGAGACACGGCCCAGACUCCUGCGGGAGGCAGCAGUGGGGAAUAUUGCACAAUGGGCGAAAGCCUGAUGCAGCGACGCCGCGUGAGGGAUGACGGCCUUCGGGUUGUAAACCUCUUUCAGCAGGGACCAAGCGCAAGUGAGUGUACCUGCAGAAGAAGCACCGGCUAACUACGUGCCAGCAGCCGCGGUAAUACGUAGGGUGCGAGCGUUGUCCGGAUUUAUUGGGCGUAAAGGGCUCGUAGGCGGCCUGUCGCGUCGGAAGUGAAAGCCCACUGCUUAACGGUGGGUCUGCUUCCGGUACGGGCAGGCUGGAGUAUGGCAGGGGAGACUGGAAUUCCUGGUGUAGCGGUGGAAUGCGCAGAUAUCAGGAGGAACACCGGUGGCGAAGGCGGGUCUCUGGGCCAUUACUGACGCUGAGGAGCGAAAGCGUGGGGAGCGAACAGGAUUAGAUACCCUGGUAGUCCACGCCGUAAACGUUGGGCGCUAGGUGUGGGGACUGUUUCCACGGUCUCCGUGCCGGAGCUAACGCAUUAAGCGCCCCGCCUGGGGAGUACGGCCGCAAGGCUAAAACUCAAAGGAAUUGACGG
rnacentral:rRNA from 1 species